rnacentral:snoRNA from 1 species
ACCCAAAGUGUUGAGUUCAGUGCAGGGUGGUCUUCNCUGUUCUGGUAAUUAAACUUUGGAACAGCAAGUGGUUGGGAGAUGUCAGAAGCAGGAAGUUUUGCUUUCCUGCCAGUUCCCUCUCAACUCACAAAG